rnacentral:rRNA from 1 species
AUUGAACGCUGGCGGCAGGCCUAACACAUGCAAGUCGAACGAGUGGCGGACGGGUGAGUAAUGUCUGGGAAACUGCCUGAUGGAGGGGGAUAACUACUGGAAACGGUAGCUAAUACCGCAUACCAUCAGAUGUGCCGAGAUGGGAUUAGCUAGUCGGUGGGGAAACGGCUCACCAAGGCGACGCUCCCCAGCUGGUCUGAGAGGGUGACCGGCCACACUGGAACUGAGACACGGUCCAGACUCCUACGGGAGGCAGCAGUGGGGAAUAUUGCACAAUGGGCGCAAGCCUGAUGCAGCCAUGCCGCGUGUAUGAAGAAGGCCUUCGGGUUGUAAAGUACUUUCAGCGGAGAGGCGUUACCCGCAGAAGAAGCACCGGCUAACUCCGUGCCAGCAGCCGCGGUAAUUC